rnacentral:rRNA from 1 species
CCUACGGGGCGCAGCAGUGAGGAAUAUUGGUCAAUGGGCGGGAGCCUGAACCAGCCAAGUCGCGUGAGGGAUGACGGCCCUAUGGGUUGUAAACCUCUUUUGCCGGGGAGCAAAGUGCCGCACGUGUGCGGUUUGGAGAGUACCCGGAGAAAAAGCAUCGGCUAACUCCGUGCCAGCAGCCGCGGUAAUACGUAGGGUGCGAGCGUUAAUCGGAAUUACUGGGCGUAAAGGGUGUGCAGGCGGCUGAGUAAGACAGAUGUGAAAUCCCCGGGCUUAACCUGGGAACCGCAUAUGUGACUGCUUGG